rnacentral:rRNA from 1 species
AAUAGAUACCCAGGUAGUCCACGCCGUAAACGAUGAGUGCUAAGUGUUGGAGGGUUUCCGCCCUUCAGUGCUGCAGCUAACGCAUUAAGCACUCCGCCUGGGGAGUACGGUCGCAAGACUGAAACUCAAAGGAAUUGACGGGGGCCCGCACAAGCGGUGGAGCAUGUGGUUUAAUUCGAAGCAACGCGAAGAACCUUACCAGGUCUUGACAUCUCCUGACCGCCCUGGAGACAGGGUCUUCCCUUCGGGGACAGGAUGACAGGUGGUGCAUGGUUGUCGUCAGCUCGUGUCGUGAGAUGUUGGGUUAAGUCCCGCAACGAGCGCAACCCUUGAUUCUAGUUGCCAGCAUUUAGUUGGGCACUCCAGAGUGACUGCCGGCGAUAAGUCGGAGGAAGGUGGGGAUGACGUCAAAUCAUCAUGCCCCUUAUGACCUGGGCUACACACGUGCUACAAUGGAUGGUACAAAGGGCUGCGAAACCGCGAGGUUGAGCUAAUCCCAAAAAACCGNUUCUCAGUUCGGAUUGC